UGGGAAACCAGCCUGGAUCUCUUGAAGGGUUUAUGAUUCAGUCCCACUUCAUGAGUUUUUUCCCUCUACUUGUGUGUGUCUUAGUCAUUUCUACACUUCUGAAAGUGCUCUACAUUCCAAGCUGAUCUGCCAAAAGCAUCUCUAAAAUCCACGCUAAUUAUAUGGAUGGGUUUGGUGACCACAGCUUCAAUUUCAAAUGGCAAUAUGCAGAUCUUGAGUAUUUUCUGUUCUAUAUCAGAACUGUAUGAUUUUGGAAUAUCUCAAUUUGAGCUUCAGUAGCAUACAGGAUUUGUCUUUUAAUAACUUAGUGUAGGAGAACUGCAGUACCCCAGCCGUCUGCUUUAUGCUGAACUCUCUGAAGCAGCCAAUUUUGUCUUCCAGAACGUGGCUGCUGCACAUGCUGGGUGCUGAUUGCAAGUAUUAUCUUAAGAUAAUCACUUCUUAAUAUUUAAGAACACGACUCUUCUUUCAAAGGCAUGCUUUUGGGCUUUUAUACCCCUGCUGGUUUCAUCUCACCAGGAGCUACCUGUCGAAUCCUUCAGUUCCACAGCUGUCUUUGCUGCUGCAUUGUGUUUAUAAAAAAAAUUGGAGGGAAGAAGAGGACUAUUAAAAAAAAAAACCCUACAGCUUCUUAAGAAGCAAAGAAAGUAGCCUGGCAAGGAAAAGAGACCUGUGCCAUAGUGCAACCAGAGUCUGAGAAGGGCCUGAAACCAAGAUUCAAAGCCUUUGGGCACCCUAAUCUGCUUUACAGAGAGCUCAUGAAAAUUGAAUGCAGAUAGCAGCCCUGCAAGAAAAAGUGUGACCAGAAUAUUUCUGCCAGGCAUUUUUCCUUGCCUACCAACCUUUUGUGUUAGCAGGUAUGACAGGAAAGUUCAGUAAUGGGUGUGCUUUACAGGCAUUAUAAGAGGUCUUGGAGAUCUGGGGGGUUUAUGUGCUCACAACCUGAACUCACCUCACGCUCCUGAGUACCUGCUGCUGUACCAAACUAAAUCCUUCAUAAGCCUGAUCUUCUUUCUUCACUUGUGUUCCUUAUAAUACACUAUGAAUCACCAUAAUCUCUGCUCUGUAACAACACCACAGAACUGCUAUUUCACUCAAUUAAUAUCAUUGUAAACUAUUAUAAAUUAAAUAACUGUCAACUUCCAAAGUACUUCUCUAGUGAUGCUCCCAUGUUCCCGUAUUUUCUUCUCAUUGAAAAUUAAAAAGUAGUUUAGAUUACCUUUUAUUUCUAAAUUAACCCUUCUGUCUGUCAAGCACAGGCCAUGGAAAUUUUUAGGAUCCUAAAAUUGCAACUGAACCUUAACAUCAAAACUGUGAAUCCAAUUAGCUGCAUGAAAGAAGCAGACAAAAUAUUUCCAGUGAGAUAAGGUUUGUGCACAGAGGUAAUAUGUUUUCUUAGACCUAUUGCUGUAGCUGCAAAAUAUUUCUACUGAUUUUAAAAUGUACUCCUCUUUAUAGCUGCCUGGUCAAGGUAUUUAAAAAAUGAAUGCAGGAAAUAAAAAUAUAUAUUUGAAAAUUGAAAAUACAUUUAAAUAAGGAGGAGAGAAAUUUAAGUAAAUGUAAAUAAGAUGCAGAGAAAUGUUAUUUAAAAUACUGCUACUGUUACUUUUGCUUCCUGUUUUAUCUCUGGUUCUUAAUUAAUGUUAAAGAUGGUCAUAUAUAGCUCUCACACAGCAGUAGCAGCACAGUCUGCUCAGAGAUCAAGAAAUCAUGCUCUGUAUUGUAGCCUGAUCUUUCAUGGUUUAUACAAAUCUUUUUAACUGAGCUAUACUCAAGUGAUUAAUGCAUUAUCCUUCCCUUCACAGUGGCUGCUGCUGUAACAUAUGGUUUACCUUUUUUGUGCUAUAAAUAUUUGCUUUCUGAUUGCCCUGAAGAUUUCAGAAUACAUUCAGCACUGCAUGGCAAAAUACUAUUUUACCCAACAUGAAAUAUUUUUUUGUUUAGAGUCAAUAGUUCACUUGCAUAUAGGUGUUUGACAUCCUGAGGGAGCAAAACAUGGAAAUAAGCUAUAUUUGUGAGGUUUUCCAUUGCUUUUCUCUUACCUUCUCUGUGGCUGAUAAAUGUAGUGAAAUUUUUGCAUUGCAUUGCUUCCUCUAGCUUGUAAUUUAACCGAAGAGUUUUACCAAUACUGCUAUUUGUUUCUAUUGCCUGACUUUUUCUGGUAGUUCUAAAUCUGCUUCUCAUCAUUUCUGUAUUGCUACAGCAUAGAUGAUGGUUUAAUUCUGCUUGUAUUUCACAUCUGCCAAAAGAAUCCUCCAUACCAAUGUAUAGACAGGAGCAUAUAGAUUUCUUCAACCUUAAAAGUGAGUGAAGGAUAGAGUAACAAUUGUUGAUAGGCUUCAUUUUUCUUCCUGUUUAUUCAGGUGUAUAAUUUUUCAGCUAAUUCAAGUAAGUUUUCUUCUCAAGAUUAUGUCUAAAUGGACAGAAAAAUUAUGGGGAAAUUAAAGUUGCUAUGGUGUAUUUAAUCCAUAACCAGAACUGGUUGGAAACAAGCCCCCAAAUUGUUUUUUAUUUCUACCAAGCUUAAAGUUUGUCACUUUCCUGUUGUGUUUUCGCUUGCUUGUCAUUUUUAAAUUUGACUCUCCCAAAAAAGUCAACUAAACUGUGAGAAAGUUCACAAAAAUGGACAAAGGAAAUUAAUAAUAAUCACACAUGGAUUUUUUUUUCUCUGAGCAAUACUUUAUCAAGUGUUAAAAAAAAAAUCCUUGAAUUUGCAAGAACUUUAUUAUGAGAGCCACCUUCUCCCUCAUGGCACAGUUACACCUCAGGCACAGUCAUGCUCACAAAUUGCACAUGCUGAGUUUUGCAGUCCACUAGAAAUAGAAGUGCCAGACUGGCCAGGGAGGAAUUCCUCUACUUUAGCAGCCAUUUUGUACCCAGUUUUAGGGAAAUGUUAUAUAAUUCAAGCUGACAAUUAAAAACAUUCCUCCCUUUCUAUUUUAACUUGUGAGCCUUCUCGUUUUUUCUAUUAUCUUAAUAAGAAAUUAAAAGUCAUUAGUUGAAUUUAGUGUCAACCUCCAUUAUUGGUAUAUAUGUAACUUCUGUUACAAUGUGUGAUUGUGUUUCUGUCAAUGAAGUCACAGAUUGCUCUUAGCUAGAAAGAUAAUCAGCAAACUUUAUGAGUGGAAUAGCAAUAACUUUAUGAGUGGGACUGGAGCAACUAAGAAAGCAGAAACUCUCAGGGGAGGAAUGCAAAAAAGACAUUACUGAGUUGAUUCCUGGACCUAAAGCCUCCCCUAAGGAAAGUGCUUCAUCUGCAAUCAUCAGCACUGAAUAGGCUUUCUUAUAAGGCACAUUUCAGGUUCUGAGGGGAGCUUAUUUAUUAGAGGCUUUUGUAGUCAGACAACCAAUCAGAGAGAAGGAGUUUCACCUACAGUUACAUCUCUGCUGGUAAAUGAAACAGGUUCAGGCUACAGUUCUUGGCACAGGCACUGAACUGUUGGGUUGUUAGAACAAUCAUGUUUUGGACUGGACAAACUCCCUCUAUCCCAGUUCUCAAGCAUGUUCUGGAAGCUGGCAUAGGUUUGUGCAUAUUCUCAACUAGAACUCUUCAUGGGAAUAUGCUAUUUUGGGAGUUGAGACAGUCCAGAGGCAGAAAUCAAAAUAAUGCUGAGCCAUUUCUUCUUUAUAGCAGAAAGUUGUUCUAUAAAAGUUUAAUUACAUGUGCUUACAUUCACAUAGUUUACAGGGCUGAUUCUAAGUGAUAAAAAUAAAAGAUAAAAAGACCAUAAUCUCUUUUUAGUCUUAGAAUUGGUACAAUAAGGGGACAUAACCUCUUGAAAUCAGAUCUUAAGUAGUGACCGAGUUUUGCUCAAAUGUGGAAGAAAUUCUGAUAUUUCACAGUCAGGCUAGUAGAUGAUCAACAUAGAAAUAUUGAUAAAAGGGUGUUUUAAAGCCUAUAUUUAAUCUUUCUUCAAUUUUAAAGACCAGAACUUAAGUGAAGUAGUCAGAAUUGCUUGUGCUAUUUGUUAUUCUGUGCCACAGCAUUGACAGUCUCAAUGACAAAGUGGAUAUUUAAUGGUUAUGAGGAGUAAAAUGGGACAACAGAGUUAAGAUUAUUUCAGUGAAGAUUAUGGAGUAUUAUGGAGUGACAAUGUCUGGUUACUGAAAUGUCAGAUUCCUUGUCUAGCCUUAGGCUGUACAUGAAGCAAAACCUACAUUAGUAAAGAUAGAAAUCUAAUGUUCUUGUGUUCUCUAGGGUUUUUGGUUUGUUUUUUUUUUUUUUUUUUUUUGCAUAGUACCUCAAAAGUUUUGGAUGAACCACAAAAGCAGGAAAAGUGUUUUUUUCUUAAAGGCUCUGUGACUUUGCAGUGGAGAAGACUUUAAGACUGAGACAACAUGAACCUUUGUAUCAUAGAUUUUUUUACUGUGGAAUUUGUGGACAUUUUUUCAUGUUUGCAUGCAUGGGAGUAUUAGUAUAUGUAUAAAAGCACCUAUAAAAUUAUGUUGUAAUUCUUUAAAUUCAUAUACAUCAAAUAAAUCCAACUGAAUUCCACAUAAA